UUGGUUCACGAACUUGGUUCAUGGUUUAUGGGAUUUGGUUCGUGAACUUGGGUAUGGUUCGUGGUGUUUGGUUCACGAACUUGGUUCAUGGUUUAUGGGAUUUGGUUCGUGAACUUGGGUAUGGUUCGUGGUGUUUGGUUCACGAACUUGGUUCAUGGUUUAUGGGAUUUAAUUCAUGAACUUGAGUAUGAAUCCUAGUUGGAAGUCGGGUUUGGGUUCUAUUUGUGGUCCGGAUUGGAUUUGAAUUUGGGAUUUUAUUUGUGGAUUGGAUUGGUUUUGGGUUUAUCUGUGGAUUGUAUUUGCUUUUGGGUUUUAUUUGUUGACUUGGUUUUGGUUUGGGGAAUUUGAUUUGGGUUUUGGGUUUGGGUUUUUUAUUUUCGUUUGAAUUUUAUUUAUGGACUUGACAUGGGUUACGGGUUUGGGUUUUGGUUUUGAGUUUGGAUUUGGGUUUGGAUUUGGGUUUUGGUUUUGGUUUUUUAUUUGGAUUUUGGUUUUUUAUUUGUGGACUUGGUUUGGGUUUGGAUUUGGGUUUCAUUUGUGGACUUGGUUUUCUUCUCAAUUCUAUUUCGGGUCUGAGAAAAUUCUCUUUUGAU
rnacentral:lncRNA from 1 species